CAGCCGUAAACUAUGCGCGUUAGGUGUACUGGUGACCACGAGUCACCGGGUGCCGAAGGGAAACCGUGAAACGUGCCGCCUGGGAAGUACGGUCGCAAGGCUGAAACUUAAAGGAAUUGGCGGGGGAGCACCACAACAGGUGGAGCCUGCGGUUUAAUUGGAUUCAACGCCGGACAUCUCACCGGAUAAGACAGCUGAAUGAUUGUCAAUCUGAAGGUUUUACAUGACUAGCUGAGAGGAGGUGCAUGGCGUCAGUGACU
rnacentral:rRNA from 1 species